rnacentral:rRNA from 1 species
UACAGAGGGCUCAAGCGUUGUUCGGAUUCAUUGGGCGUAAAGGGUGCGUAGGUGGCGAGGUUAGUCAGGUGUGAAAUCUCGGGGCUCAACCCCGAAACUGCACUUGAUACUGCCUUGCUAGAGUACUGGAGAGGAGAGUGGAAUUUACGGUGUAGCAGUGAAAUGCGUAGAUAUCGUAAGGAAGACCAGUGGCGAAGGCGAAUCUCUGGACAGUUACUGACACUGAGGCACGAAGGCCAGGGGAGCAAACGGG